CGAGAGGUGCAAGCGUUAUUCGGAAUUAUUGGGCGUAAAGGGUGCGUAGGCGGUAUGAUAAGUCUGUUGUUAAAUAUCCUGGCUCAACCAGGAAAAUGCAAUGGAAACUAUCGUUCUAGAGGGUGAGAGAGAGAAGUGGAAUUCCAGGAGUUAGCGGUCAAAUGCGUAGAUCUCUGGAGGAACACCGAUGGCGAAGGCAGCUUCUUGGCUCAUUUCUGACGCUGAGGCACGAAAGCGUGGGGAGCAAACAGGAUUAGAUACCCUGGUAGUCCACGCUGUAAACGAUGAUCACUAGAUGUUGGUUCGGCUUGCCGGAUCAGUGUCGUAGCUAACGCGUUAAGUGAUUCGCCUGGGAAGUACGGUCGCAAGACUA
rnacentral:rRNA from 1 species